GUGCACGCUGGCGGUAGGCCUAACACAUGCCAGUCGAACGGCAGCACAGUAAGAGCUUGCUCUUACGGGUGGCGAGUGGCGGACGGGUGAGGAAUACAUCGGAAUCUACUUUUUCGUGGGGGAUAACGUAGGGAAACUUACGCUAAUACCGCAUACGACCUACGGGUGAAAGCAGGGGAUCUUCGGACCUUGCGCGAUUGAAUGAGCCGAUGUCGGAUUAGCUAGUUGGCGGGGUAAAGGCCCACCAAGGCGACGAUCCGUAGCUGGUCUGGGAGGAUGAUCAGCCACACUGGAACUGAGACACGGUCCAGACUCCUACGGGAGGCAGCAGUGGGGAAUAUUGGACAAUGGGCGCAAGCCUGAUCCAGCCAUACCGCGUGGGUGAAGAAGGCCUUCGGGUUGUAAAGCCCUUUUGUUGGGAAAGAAAAGCAGCAGGUUAAUACCCCGCUGUUCUGACGGUACCCAAAGAAUAAGCACCGGCUAACUUCGUG
rnacentral:rRNA from 1 species